GCCAGGUUGGCUCAGUGGAUAGAGCAUUGGCCUGUAGACUCAAGGGUCCCAGGUUCAAUUCUGGAUCAAGGA
rfam:Myotis lucifugus cont2.24718, whole genome shotgun sequence.